AAAAACAUGGCCUUUUGAUUAUAAUUUUAGGUCUCGCCUGCCCAAUGAUUUUUAUUUAAUGGCCGCAGUAUCCUGACUGUGCAAAGGUAGCAAAAUCAAUAGUUUUUUAAUUGAAAGCUGGAAUGAAAGGUUGGAUGAGAAAGUAACUGUCUCUGUAAAAAUUUAUUAUAACUUUAUUUUUAAGUUAAAAAGCUUAAAUAAAAAUAGAAGACGAGAAGACCCUAUAGAGUUUUAUAUUAAGAUAUAUCUGGAAUUUUAGUAUUAAUUUUUCUUUUUAUGUUUAUAUAUUUGGUUGGGGUGAUUGGAAAACUAAAUGAACUUUUCUUGAUUAGUACAUUUAUUUAUGAUUGAAUGAUCCUUUAAUUAAGAUUACAAGAUAAAAUUACCUUAGGGAUAACAGCGUAAUUUUUUUUGAGAGUCCUUAUCGAAAGAAGAGAUUGCGACCUCGAUGUUGGAUUAAAGUUGAUUUAUGGUGUAGGAGCUAUGAUAUUAGGUCUGUUCGACCUUUAAAACUUUACUUGAUCUGAGUU
rnacentral:rRNA from 1 species